GUAUUUCUGCAUCGCUUCGUCAUGCUAAAGUAGCCGGUCACUAGUUCCCUUCCACGCACUCGGCCUCUGGUUUUCCUGCUCCCUCCUUGCUCCAGCCUUCUCCCAAGGUCGCCCCAUGGCGUCUUCCCCUGCUGGUUCACCGGUGCCCAGCUCACUUGGGCUGUGUGUGCUCCUGCAUCACGCUCUGCUCGCAGAAUUCCUUCGCGGCGUCCUGCAGGCCGACGCUCAGCUCUCAGCUCCUGCGCGUGUCGAACUCUUCUAUUGCGCGCGCGAAGUUCCCUGCUCGCCACGACGUGUCGAGCUUCCGCGUCGAGUUUCUCUCUUCCGUGCCGAUUGUCUUCUCCGAGCCGAUUCUUGGCUAUCGUAGUAUUUUUAAU